UAGAGUUGAUCCUGGCUCAGGAUCAACGCUGGCGGCGUGCCUAAUGCAUGCAAGUCGCACGCGCGGCCUUCGGGCUGGCGCGUGGCGAACGGCUGAGGAACACGUGCGUACCUGCCCCAUCGUGGGGAAUAUCGCGUGGAAACACGCGCUAAUACCGCGUACGCUUGCCCUCGGGCAAGGAAAGCCUUCGGGCGCGGUGGGAGGGGCGCGCGGCCCAUCAGGUCGUUGGCGGGGUAACGGCCCACCAAGCCGAUGACGGGUCGCUGGUCUGUGAGGACGGCCAGCCAGACUGGGACUGAGACACGGCCCAGACACCUACGGGUGGCAGCAGCAAGGAAUCUUCCCCAAUGGGCUCACGCCUGAGGGAGCAACGCCGCGUGGAGGACGACGGCCUUCGGGUUGUAAACCCCUUUUCGGGGGGAUGAUAGGGACAGUACCUCCGGAAUCAGCCCCGGCUAACUCUGUGCCAGCAGCCGCGGUAAGACAGAGGGGGCAAGCGUUGUCCGGACUUACUGGGCGUACAGCGCGCGCAGGCGGUACGGUAUGUGGCCGGUGACACACGCCCGCUUAACGGGCGAGGGUCUGGCUAGACAGCCGUGCUAGAGGCUUGGAGAGGGUCAUGGAAUACCCGGUGGAGCGGUGAAAUGCGUAGAGAUCGGGUGGAACACCAGCGGCGAAGGCGGUGACCUGGCCAAGACCUGACGCUGAGGCGCGAAAGCGUGGGGAGCAAACGGGAUUAGAUACCCCGGUAGUCCACGCCGUAAACGAUGUGGAGCCGGUGCCGGUGGGUGAUUGCGCCCGGCGGUGCCCAAGCUUACGCGAUGACUCCACCGCCUGGGAACUACGGCCGCAAGGCUAAAACUCA
rnacentral:rRNA from 1 species